GAUGAACGCUGGCGGCGUGCCUAAUACAUGCAAGUCGAGCGAACGGACGAGAAGCUUGCUUCUCUGAUGUUAGCGGCGGACGGGUGAGUAACACGUGGAUAACCUACCUAUAAGACUGGGAUAACUUCGGGAAACCGUAGCUAAUACCGGAUAAUAUUUUGAACCGCAUGGUUCAAAAGUGAAAGACGGUCUUGCUGUCACUUAUAGAUGGAUCCGCGCUGCAUUAGCUAGUUGGUAAGGUAACGGCUUAACAAGGCAACGAUGCAUAGCCGACCUGAGAGGGUGAUCGGCCACACUGGAACUGAGACACGGUACAGACUCCUACGGGAGGCAACAGUAGGGAAUCUUCCGCAAAGGGCGAAAGCCUGACGGAGAAACGCCGCGUGAGUGAUGAAGGUCUUCGGAUCGUAAAACUCUGUUAUUAGGGAAGAACAUAUGUGUAAGUAACUGUGCACAUCUUGACGGUACCUAAUCAGAAAGCCACGGCUAACUACGUG
rnacentral:rRNA from 1 species